GUGGGAAGAGGGCAGGAAAGGGGGAUUUGGCACAGGCCUCUGCUGCCUGGUCUCAAUUUAGUUGUGAGGAGCCUCCUAAUAGCCGGGUGAGAGCUGUGCACGCUUUCCUGAGAGCCUGCUAAGUGUUUAUGGAAUGAUUUGUGAGGAGAAGUUUCUUUGGAAGCAGCUUGGGGAAGCCAAGCAUCCCGCCCAGAGCAGGGUCAUUCUAGCCAGACCAGGACACAGUGAGGACACUGGGCCAGCCCUGGAAGUUCAGUGAACUCUGAAUCAAUCUACGAAUCGUCCUGUCAGCAGAAAUUUGCCCAACCUGGUUGCCGCAGAACAGCCUGUAUACCAUCAGUUUUAUUCAGUGUUGCGCUGGAGCCAAGUCCCAUGAGAGCAGACUGUGUUCAUUUCUCUCCACUCCGCAUUCUGUGUCAGCGUGUUGGUUUGAAAUCAGUCAUGAUGGAAGUAUUUACACAACAGAAG
rnacentral:lncRNA from 10 species